CUCUGAUGACUCCCGUGCUAGUUCUGGCCUGUCCAUUCCCAGCUCAGCAGGGGCCUUCUCAGAGACAGCAGGGCCAGCCGGGUGUUCAGACCUGGGCUUGGACACCACCGUGGAGCCCCUGGAUGUCUCCUCUCUGGGACACAACCUGGACAUGCUGAAAGAUCAAGUAGAAUCUGGCCACACUUCUGACGCCCCUCGCCCCGGCUCCGAGCUCUUCUCUCCGGGCGCCACCACCACCAUGGCACGCCCAGGCUCCAACGCCAAACCCAUCCUGCCACCUAUCCUGUCGGGACGCAAAACCCCCGGACCCAGCCCUAAGCCCCAAACCCUGAGACAGGAGAGAGAGGGAGAGGGAGAUGAGGAGUGAAGAGGUACAGGAGAGAGGUAGAGGAGGAGUGAAGAGGUACAGGAGAGAGGAAGAGGAGGAGUGAAGAGGUACAGGAGAGAGGAAGAGGAGGUGUGAAGAGGUACAGGAGAGAGGAAGAGGAGGAGUGAAGAGAUAGAGGAGGAGUGAAGAGGUAUAUGAGAGAGGAAGAGGAGGAGGAGUGAAGAAGUACAGAAGAGAGGAGGAGUGAAGAGGUACAGAAGAGAGGAAGAUGAGGAGUGAAGAGGUACAUGAGAGAGGAAGAGGAGGAGGAGUGAAGAGGUACAGGAGAGAGGAAGAGGAGGAGUGAAGAGGUAUAUGAGAGAGGAAGAGGAGGAGGAGUGAAGAGGUACAGAAGAGAGGAAGAGGAGGAGUGUAGAGGUACAGGGAAGAGGAGUGAGGAGGUACAGGAGAGAGGAAGAGGAGGAGUGUAGGGGUACAAGAGAGAGGACGAGGAGGAGUGUAGAGGUACAUGAGAGCGGAAGAGGAGGAGGAGUGAAGUGGUACAGGAGAGAGGAGGAGGAGUGAAGAGGUACAGGAGGGAGGAAGAGGAGGAGUGAAGAGGUAUAUGAGAGAGGAAGAGGAGGAGGAGUGAAGAGGUACAGAAGAGAGUAAGAGGAGGAGUGAAGAGGUACAGAAGAGAGGAAGAGGAGUGUAGAGGUACAGGGAAGAGGAGGAGUGAGGAGGUACAGGAGAGAGGAAGAGGAGGAGUGUAGGGGUACAAGAGAGAGGACGAGGAGGAGUGUAGAGGUACAGGAGAGAGGAAGAGGUACAGAAGAGAGGAAGAGGAGGAGUGAGGAGGUACAGGAGAGAGGGAGGGACAAGUAGAUGUUCUUUCAAGAGUUGAAAGGUCACACAGAAUGAACAAUGAUGGACACAUUCACCUGUCUUUUCUGAAUAAAGACAUACCUGUGUGUUAA